UGUUGUCUAUAUGGUUCCCUCUCAGACCUUACACUUGGAAAUUCUACUCUAACAUUCUCAACAAGUGUUGGAAUAUGAGAAAUAGAAGUGUUCUCUCUAUUCCUAUCUCUACUAUAACCAGAUUCUGUCAACAUAGAAUCACGUUGGUUAUUCUUAAUGAAAUCAAUAUAUAGUUUAUACAAAAGACAGGGAACUAAUGGAAGA
rnacentral:lncRNA from 1 species